rnacentral:rRNA from 1 species
AGUGAACGCUGGCGGUAGGCCUAACACAUGCAAGUCGAACGGCAGCACAGUAAGAGCUUGCUCUUACGGGUGGCGAGUGGCGGACGGGUGAGGAAUACAUCGGAAUCUACUUUUUCGUGGGGGAUAACGUAGGGAAACUUACGCUAAUACCGCAUACGACCUACGGGUGAAAGCAGGGGAUCUUCGGACCUUGCGCGAUUGAAUGAGCCGAUGUCGGAUUAGCUAGUUGGCGGGGUAAAGGCCCACCAAGGCGACGAUCCGUAGCUGGUCUGAGAGGAUGAUGAGGGACAGGAGAGCGAGAACGACGACCAGACGCCGACAGUAGCGCGCAGGCGCGAAGGUGGGGCAAUAGGCGGAAACUUGGACAACCAGGCCGAAGCCAGAGAAAGAGACGCCGCGGUUGCGAAGACGUCUUGCUGGGAAAGAAAAGCUGCCUCCUGUUACCAAGCGGUAGUGACGGUACGGAAUAAAUAAGCACCGGCUAACUUCGUG